rnacentral:rRNA from 1 species
GGACGAACGCUGGCGGCGUGCUUAACACAUGCAAGUCGAACGAGAAUCUGUGGAAAGAGGAUUCGUCCAAUUGAAGCAGAGGACAGUGGCGGACGGGUGAGUAACGCGUGAGGAUCCUGCCUUUCAGAGGGGGACAACAGUUGGAAACGACUGCUAAUACAGCAUAAGCCCACGGGUCGGCAUCGACCAGAGGGAAAAGGAGCAAUCCGCUUUGAGAUGGCCUCGCGUCCGAUUAGCUAGUUGGUGAGGUAACGGCCCACCAAGGCAACGAUCGGUAGCCGGACUGAGAGGUUGAACGGCCACAUUGGGACUGAGACACGGCCCAGACUCCUACGGGAGGCAGCAGUGGGGAAUAUUGCACAAUGGGGGAAACCCUGAUGCAGCGACGCCGCGUGGAGGAAGAAGGUCUUCGGAUUGUAAACUCCUGUUGUUGAGGAAGAUAAUGACGGUACUCAACAAGGAAGUGACGGCUAACUACGUGCAGCAGCCGCGGUAAAACGUAGGUCACAAGCGUUGUCCGGAAUUACUGGGUGUAAAGGGAGCGCAGGCGGGAAGACAAGUUGGAAGUGAAAUCUAUGGGCUCAACCCAUAAACUGCUUUC